rnacentral:rRNA from 1 species
AGAGGGUGCGAGCGUUAAUCGGAAUUACUGGGCGUAAAGCGCACGUAGGCGGCUUGGUAUGUCGGGUGUGAAAUCCCCGGGCUCAACCUGGGAACUGCAUCCGAAACUGCCUUGCUAGAGUAUGGGAGAGGGAAGUGGAAUUUCCGGUGUAGCGGUGAAAUGCGUAGAUAUCGGAAGGAACAUCAGUGGCGAAGGCGACUUCCUGGACCAAUACUGACGCUCAGGUGCGAAAGCGUGGGGAGCAAACAGGAUUAGAUACCCUGGUAGUCCACGCCCUAAACUAUGAGAACUGGAUGUCGGGAGGGUUUGCCUUCCGGUGUCGUAGCUAACGCGUUAAGUUCUCCGCCUGGGAAGUACGGCCGCAAGGUUG